rnacentral:rRNA from 1 species
AUUGAACGCUGGCGGCAUGCCUUACACAUGCAAGUCGAACGGCAGCACGGGUGCUUGCACCUGGUGGCGAGUGGCGAACGGGUGAGUAAUAUAUCGGAACGUACCUUAUUGUGGGGGAUAACGCAGCGAAAGCUGUGCUAAUACCGCAUAAUCCCUAAGGGGGAAAGCGGGGGACCGUAAGGCCUCGCGCAAUUUGAGCGGCCGAUACCUGAUUAGCUAGUUGGUGAGGUAAAGGCUCACCAAGGCAACGAUCAGUAGCUGGUCUGAGAGGACGAUCAGCUACACUGGGACUGAGACACGGCCCAGACUCCUACGGGAGGCAGCAGUGGGGAAUUUUGGACAAUGGGGGCAACCCUGAUCCAGCAAUGCCGCGUGAGUGAAGAAGGCCUUCGGGUUGUAAAGCUCUUUUGUCAGGGAAGAAACAGCAGCUCUAACACAGUUUGCGAAUGACGGUACCUGAAGAAUAAGCACCGGCUAACUACGUGCCAGCCGCCGCAGUAA